AUUGAACGCUGGCGGCAGGCCUAACACAUGCAAGUCGAGCGAGCGGCGGACGGGUGAGUAAUGGCUGGGAAACUGCCUGAUGGAGGUGGAUAACUACUGGAAACGGUAGCUAAUACCGCAUACCGUCGGAUGUGGCCCGAUGGGAUUAGCUAGUUGGUGGGGUAAAGGCUCACCAAGGCGACGAUCCCUAGCUGGUCUGAGAGGAUGACCAGCCACACUGGAACUGAGACACGGUCCAGACUCCUACGGGAGGCAGCAGUGGGGAAUAUUGGACAAUGGGCGAAAGCCUGAUGCAGCCAUGCCGCGUGUAUGAAGAAGGCCUUCGGGUUGUAAAGUACUUUAAGCGGGGAGGCGUUACCCGCAGAAGAAGCACCGGCUAACUCCGUGCCAGCAGCCGCGGUAAUUC
rnacentral:rRNA from 1 species